CUGUAGUGCCCUUUACAAGUUGGGAGCACUGAAUGCAGAUACUACGUCAUGAGAUUGAUACAAGGAACUCGUACUCACAAAUCAAGUUAGACGAGGUGCAAGUUGAGCUGGCUGAAUUUUUGGAUUGCUACAUGUGAUAGUAAGUGCUCGCACAAUUUGGUCAUUUUGAAGAAAAGUAUUUGUUCUGGCUGAGUUUCUAGAUUUCCUUCACAUAUUGAUAUAGAUGUAAUAUUUUUUUGGAAUUGAUCAUAUGUAAGGGUGGUUAAUUGUAGUUUUGGAAAGGUAGUUAAUUGUUCAUAUGUGUUCAUGUGGAGACGAUGAUUGCAAAAGUGGUUUUGAUAGUUGUUAUGGGGAGAAUAUAGUUUUGUUAAUAUGGGGUGGAUGGUAGUUUUGAUAGAAGUUUUGGAAAUGUAGUUUUUAAAUUGUUCAUAUUGGGUUGCCCAUAUUCUUCUAGUUAACUUAGAAAAUCCUUUAUGAAGUUACAAAGUUUUAUAAUGACAAUGUUGAAGAAUGUUAUCUUGUGUCAAAGGUAUUGGAGGAAAUUUUGGUUCAUAAGAUUGAAAAUG